UACGGGGGGGGCAAGCGUUGUUCGGAAUUACUGGGCGUAAAGGGUGUGUAGGCGGUUGUUUAAGUUUGGUGUGAAAUCUCCCGGCUCAACCGGGAGGGUGCGCCGAAUACUGAAUGACUAGAGUGCGGGAGAGGAAAGUGGAAUUCCUGGUGUAGCGGUGAAAUGCGUAGAUAUCAGGAGGAACACCGGUGGUGUAGACGGCUUUCUGGACCGUAACUGACGCUGAGACACGAAAGCGUGGGUAGCAAACAGG
rnacentral:rRNA from 1 species